UUCUCUCUGAAACUUUUUAUUUAAUGUAAAGACUAAAUUUAAAGUAAGUCUUAUUGUUAGUUAGAUUAAUUUAUUGUCUUCUCUAUUGCAUUUUGCAAGUAAUAGGAUUAUCGUUUUUAUAAGAAGUCUGUGUAUGUACUCUUGGCUCGUGAUAGUGGAAAAUAAAGGCUAUUUUUACUUCUUCCACACCAGAAGUGUUUGAAAAUACGUUUCGACAUGUAACUUUAGUGAAACAAAUUAGCAGUUGUGUGAAUAUAUCAUCUAUCAUUAUCAUCAUAUUAACUUUAUUUUACUCAAUACAAUUAAAAUUAGUAAUGUCUCUGAAAAAUCGAUGUUUCCUUUUCUUUUUAAAUUUAAUUUAGUAAUGUAUAAUUAAUUUUAAAUGGUGAAGAUAUCAAAUAAUUAUUACUUCAUUAGUACAGUGAAAAAUUCUUUAUAUAAUCUAGUGGUAAUUAUGCUACAAUAUUAUAAUACUAAACUGUUAAUUUUUUUCCUGAAUGUAUUUUCCCGUUCUGGAUUCGUAUUCUUGCGAUAGGUACAUUUUAAUGUAAGUAAAAUGAUGAGAUUAGUGUUUAUUUUUGUAGUUGCACCAAGAUUUAAGAUGUAUAAAAGUGAUUAAUUGUAUGUUAGUGUUACAUGCUGGAGCAUGCUCUAUUUUUUUAUUAAUUCGUUAAUAUCCACUCUAUGACUGAUCUUUUCAUAACCUUUUGUACUGUUACAUACUUUGUUUUUGUACUUUUAAGCAAAUUUUGGAUGUCACUAUUUAUAGGGUUUGCGCAUUUCAUCAGACGGUUUAUCGUUUGUUGAAUGAGUCAAUAUAAAUCAAAAUAUUUCAUUGUUUGUGACGUCACUACGUAUUUUUAUUAUUAAAAUACCAAUAGUGACAGUUUUUACCUGCUCUAAUCUUUUACGAAAUAAAUCAAGGAAAACAGUUCAUUUUUCUUAAAAUGAAAGUAUUUUUCUCUUGCAAUAUUUAAAAGUAAAUGAAAAUGUAGAUUAAUUCUAGUUAAUGUUGGAUCAUAUUUUGUAAGUUUUAAAAGUUAAUUCAAUGUACUUAAAGCGUUGCACUUUGUUUAUCGUUUAAAUAUUUGCUUUCUAUUGUAUUAAUAAAGAGUCUCAUAACAAAUUAUAAUAAAAAUCAAUAUUUCUAAAACUAGUGUUUAUUAAACUGAAAAAACCACAGAAACUUACCAAAACACUAUUCUAAAAAAACACUAUUUUUUAGGAAUCGUGUAAAACCCUCUAUUUAAAAAUCAUCUACAAGUAAAUAAAAUGAACCAGCUAAAGUAUUUAGCUCAACGCCCACCAAUGAGUGAAAAGCAUCAAAGUAGAGAAUCACAAAAAUCGAAGUGGUCGAGGUUUAAUGUUUUUACUUAAUCGCUUGCUUAUUUCUGGAGUAGUCAUUUUUGUCAGGUUCAAGUUGCGUAUUUAUCUGAGCAUGAAUACGUUCGAGGUCAAACGGAACAGAUGCCUCAUUUGUAUUCUCGAGAACUCUUAAGUCAUGAGGCGCUUUUUAUUUCAUUUAAUAAAUAGCUGGUGGCAAGGAUUAUUAAUAAAUCGCUGCAUACGAGUCCAGUGUGCACAAAUGUCGUUCAUAUUACUUUGAAGUACUUACACGAAACGAAUGAAGUGCGAACAGUCUUAUAUCAAAUCGAGGUGGUCGCUGCGUUUCGCUAAUCUGUCCACAGAAGACGUAUUCGUUUCGCAUCACCGUGGUCGCCUUGCUUCGAAUAUUUUGGUGUAAAUAUUCAGCCAACUCUAGGAUUCAAACACGGGACCUACUGCUCCACAUGCAAGGCUUUAACUAUUGGCGUAUUGUAUUUGCCUCAGCGUUACAGAAUCAGUCAUAAAUACUGCUACGCGAUUUAACACAAACCACAUCAUACGUUUUCAAAUUUAAAGUGGACGGCAAUUUUAGUCCAUUUUCAAGCGCAUUUAAUUCCAAUCCUUAAUUUAAGAUGUAUGGAGAGUAUAGUAUUAUUAAUAGUUAUUCUCCAAUGUAUCUGCUACGAUAAAGGGUGUAAAGCAACUUUGCUGGAAACUUUUAAACCGAUGGUUUCCAUUAUGAAGCAACAUUCAUCACUGUGUCUCUAAUCAUGGUCUUUCCAACGAGGAUGCUGCUCAAAAUACUAAAAGUUCUUACCUGAACCUCUUCAAGAACUUGAAAGUGCACCUACAGAGCAUAAGUUUUAUACACAACUAUUACUACCUUCAUGGAGAACUUAGAACUAGAAUGCGUACCUACAUACUCAAAUGCAAAAAUGCAAAUGUUCUGUUGAAUUUCUUUUAAUCGCUUAGAAAUGUUUGCAUAAGAAUUAUAGGCUGAUCAACCAUUUUA
rnacentral:lncRNA from 1 species